ACAGAAGGGCAAGAGGGACGUUGUGAGGCUGUGGCACAGCACUGCCAGGCACGGACCCCAAGAAGUUGGCAGGACCCUUGAGGACAAGUAAGGCCACCUAUUCUCAGAGAGCUUCAGAAAGCUAAUGUGGCAAAUUUUCAUAUUGGAAAAAUUGCGAGGUACCAUAAGGUGACUGGGUAUUAAGGCAAAGCAGCUCCCCUGUGUGACCUCAAUCAGCACUACUUACAGACAAGCUUCCUCUCAGCUGUGACCCACCAGGAACCUGCCCUGCUGUUCCAGAGGCUUCUGGGUGCCAACAAAUGUCCCCUUGGCCAAAUCCCACUUUUGACCCUCCACAGCCUCUGGCCAAAGUUUUCUUGCUCCUGCCAAUGACAACAGGAAUCCAUAGGCCAUGUGUCAUUGGCAGGGGCAGGAACGCCUUGGCCUGGGCUGUGAAGGGUCAAGAGAUGGCUCUGGCAGGGCAGACAUGUAUUAGCACCCAGAGCCUCUGAGACAGAAGGUGAGAAGUCCAAGGGGUAACCCCAGCACCCUCAGUGGAGGAUCCCUGGAAGCAACUGGAGCCAGUGCACUUGACUGCUGUAGGGACAAGGGUGGGAGGGACCCCGGCCAGAGUAUGUGAGAUAAGAGGGAGCAGCUCUCUCCAGAACAGCUCUAGACUGGGAGUUUCUCCAGAAGAAAGGAAGAGUACCAUGCGCCUGGGGGGAAGGACCUGCCUGUGAUGUCCUAGCGGGUCAGGUCACAGACAUGGACCUAACACAAACUCCCACCUGCACAGGGCACUUCUGCUCCUAUCCUGUGCAUUAUGUUAAUAUAUCGGGCAUCACCAUGCAGGCAGCAAUCCCCGCUUGAUAAGGGAAAAACAGAGCAAGCGGAAGUAAAACCAUUUGUCUGGUGUCACACAAGCAGCAGGUGUAAAACAAGUAGCCAAUAUCUGCUCAGCCUGAUCCAAAAGCCAUGUCACUCCUACUACAGCUCAGAUAAAAUGCUUCUCCAGGCACUCUGUCCUGUACUGACACAUCACUGAGCACAGGAGUCUGAUGUCACAGGUUGAUCUGCUUUGGUGACAAGGGAGAGUUACUUGGAUCACCUGGGUUUGCAGAGUGUGUGGGAAGAAUAUGGUAAGGACAGCAAGGAAGCCAAGAAGAGAAACAAGCAUGAGUUGGGUGCGCACUGUGUCCUAGAAGUCAUGCCAAAGAUGAACAGCUCUUAUCAGCCCAUUCUACAGACAAGAAAGUUGAGGUUCCAGACUGAAAACAUAUGGUCAAAUCACAUGAAAGAGUUAGGGUCUACCUGGUAGCUUUGUGACCUCAGAAAGGAUUAGCAGAAAGUUGCCACUGGAGACCCUAAGUCAGGUGCUGAUGCUGCCCAAAGCAGUGUGUACCCAUCAGAGAACCCAUCAUUGUUAUGUCAAUGGCAGAGGACUACUCCCUGUCCUAAGGCCUGUUCAGGGCAUGGGACACCAGGAAGUGCCUCCCUGGGGCUGGGCCCACAGUGAGGCCUCUGCCCAGCCAAGGUCCCUCAGACACCCAUCAAAUGCUGGGUCUGUAUCAGACUUCUACUUUGUCCUGGUCCCAAGAGCAAGAGGGUGGGAUUCAGAAGAGAUGAGAGCCUGGGCCGCCUGAUGGCUGAUGCUAUGAGAUGGCAGACACACAGGUACACAGACUAGGCUUCAAACACCAGGCUAGGAGCUGGGGUCCGUUUUUCCAGUGGGGAGGCCCUGGGAAGGCUAAGCACCAGCGGGGGUACCCAUGCUCUGACCUCCACAGGCCCACCCCAGGUAGCACCUUCACAGAAAGACAGAGCUGGGUAGGUGGAGCAAAGGGCUCUUAUCUCAUGGCCUCAGCAAGAUAUGGGGAAAAAUACACCAUGGAAAACAUAGCUCUGACAAGGGACAAAAAUAGCCAUUGUCCUGCCACCCAGUUCUCAGUAUCAGCAGCAUGAGUUUGUUCAGGUGGAAAGAUUCAUCCUGUUCACAGUCAACACUGCUCAGGGCUGAAAAAUCCUUCACAAACAGGGUGUAGGGAAGGAGGCACAAGGCUGCGCCUGGCAUAACUGCUCUGCACCCAGGCUGUGCGGGGAGGGAGCUAUGCUGUGCUAUGGCCCAGGGGCUGCACAGAGCUCCUCUGGCAACUUGCAUCCUCUCUGGCUGGAACUGACGCAAGGAAGACCGUGGCAGGGGAGUCAGGCAGACCUCUGACAUUCUCGGUAGCCCAUCUCUCCUUCUCUUGAUGCCCUAGACUUGAACACUUUUUUUGUGGUACUAAUGAGUGAACCCAGGACUUUUGCACAUUUCAAGCCCUUUUCAUUUAUAUUGAAGCAGGAUCUUACUAAAACACCAGGUUGUUCAGGCUGUGCUUCAACUGAAGAUCCUCUGUGUCAGCUUCCCAGAGCAUUGGUGUUACAGGCAUGCACCACUAUAACUUGCUUUGACUGGGACACUUCCUGUUUCUUGUCUAAGCACAGUGAAGGAGACCUUGCCUCUCUGGUGCAGCUGAUCUGACAGGUGGACCUUCCAUUGCUCACUCUCACCCAGGAAGGUGCUCUGUAUGCUCCAUCACUUCCUCCCACUACUCCUCUGGGAAUCUCCACUGUUUUAAAUCACAGCAGUAUUCUCACACAGAUGGCCAGGGUGCACCCCUUUCUUUCUGUACCACCUGUUUACAAACAUUUGCUCUUCUGCCCCACAACCUGAAAUAAUACUAAGAGAUCCUGGGGUCCUGCCUCCUACCUUGGGGCUCACCUAGAUCGUACAGAAAGCCCCCAAGGAGGGAUCUCUUGGGGCCACAGCACCCUCACUAGCCCCAGCUGCAGCCAGUAUGCAAUGCCUGUCCUGUGCAGGGACUCACACUUGAGACAAUGACAAUAUGUGUGAUGGGGAACAGGACUGAGCCACACGCACCACAGUGAGAAGCAAAACCCUGUGUGUUGAUUCCCAGUGCAGGCGCAAGAGAAGGUGUUGUUUGCUGUCAGCCAGGGCCGGCACCCACAAAUAUACCUACACUUGGCUGGCCCCUUGUGAACAAGUGAAGAUCACAGAAUACCCCAAGAAGCAAAACUUGGAGGAAUACCAAACAGACAUUAUGAAAUUAGAAGUGAAGCCUGUAGUAAGUUAACUGGAGAUUCCCAGCAGGGAGAAUCUUUGAAAAGGUAGGGCCAGGAUGCUGGCCAGGCUGGCCUGGAACAAUGGGGAAAUUUAGGGGCCCAGGUAGAGUGAAGACAAAUGUAUCACCAAGCAGGGCUGGGGAGCAGGUGAUCCUAUGACUCAGUCCUUCAACAAAGGAGGUGACAGGAGCACCACACCGCCGGCUGUCGAGCACACCUGUAUGUGGGGCACUGAUAAUGUGGCAGGUGAUUUCAAGUGACAGGGGUAGGGGAGGUGGGAGCUGAGUGUGACAGGAAGAUGGGAUCCAGGGCAUGUAGCCUGUGGAGGAAGAGGUGCCAGGAUAUGAGGAGGCACGUGGUGGAAUGUAGAAGAGGAGGCAGAGCAGGAGAUCAUCAGGAAUGGAGCCAUCAGUCACCAGGGUUAAAGGAGAAAGGAUAUGUGAUUGAAGGUCAACAGGGGGCCCACAUGUGCCAUGCUUACACCACACCCCAGCUUUCAGCGCCACCCUUCAAAUGGAGGCUUCAGGAUGAUUUCAGCACUGCAGGGAGUAGAGGGCAGGGCCCACUAGGCCAGGACUGGACCCAGCAAAGGUAAAGCUCUACCAUGAAAAACAAAGACAAGCAAAAGGGCCACAGGGAGCCACGGACAGCCAAGACAGUCUGUGGAAGAUGGGGAGACCAUGUGUAUGGAACUGCAAGGACCAAACGUGUGAAACCUGUGAAGAAGCAGGAACUGGGAGUCAUCAGAGUGUACAGAUGACAAGUAAGAAAUCAUUCUUCCCUGAUCCAACAUGAGAACCCCACAUCAUGAAAACCACUCUGCAGACUGGAGCACACGAACUUUUACCACUCUAUGUUCUCAAGUCCACAUGCAUGUCUUACCCGGCCUACUCAGCUGUCUGGCAGG